GACGAACGCUGGCGGCGUGCCUAAUACAUGCAAGUCGAACGCUUCUUUCCUCCCGAGUGCUUGCACUCUAUUGGAAAGCGGAGUGGCGGACGGGUGAGUAACACGUGGGUAACCUACCCAUCAGAGGGGGAUAACACUUGGAAACAGGUGCUAAUACCGCAUAACAGUUUAUGCCGCAUGGCAUAAGAGUGAAAGGCGCUUUCGGCUGUCGCUGAUGUAUGGACCCGCGGUGCAUUAGCUAGUUGGUGAGGUAACGGCUCACCAAGGCGACGAUGCAUAGCCGACCUGAGAGGGUGAUCGGCCACACUGGAACUGAGACACGGCCCAGACUCCUACGGGAGGCAGCAGUAGGGAAUCUUCGGCAAUGGACGAAAGUCUGACCGAGCAACGCCGCGUGAGUGAAGAAGGUUUUCGGAUCGUAAAACUCUGUUGUUAGGGAAGAACAAGGACGUUAGUAACUGAACGUCCCUUGACGGUACCUAACCAGAAAGCCACGGCUAACUACGUG
rnacentral:rRNA from 1 species